CCUGUGUGGAUGACGGUACCGGAAUAAGAAGCACCGGCUAACUACGUGCCAGCAGCCGCGGUAAUACGUAGGGUGCGAGCGUUAAUCGGAAUUACUGGGCGUAAAGCGUGCGCAGGCGGUUUGGUAAGUCAGAUGUGAAAUCCCCGGGCUCAACCUGGGAACUGCAUUUGAGACUGCCAAGCUGGAGUUUGGCAGAGGGGGGUGGAAUUCCACGUGUAGCAGUGAAAUGCGUAGAGAUGUGGAGGAACACCGAUGGCGAAGGCAGCCCCCUGGGCCAAUACUGACGCUCAUGCACGAAAGCGUGGGGAGCAAACAGGAUUAGAUACCCUGGUAGUCCACGCCCUAAACGAUGUCAACUAGGUGUUGGGAGGGUUAAACCUUUUAGUGCCGUAGCUAACGCGUGAAGUUGACCGCCUGGGGAGUACGGCCGCAAGGCUAAAAACUCAAAGGAAUUGACGGG
rnacentral:rRNA from 1 species